AGGAUGAACGCUGGCGGUCUGCUUAACACAUGCAGGUCGAACGGAGUACCUCGGUACUUAGUGGCGGACGGGUGAGUAACGCGUGAGAAUCUGCCCUUAGGUCGGGGACAACCAUUGGAAACGAUGGCUAAUACCGGAUAAGCCGAGAGGUAAAAGAUUAAUUGCCUAGGGAAGAGCUCGCGUCUGAUUAGCUAGUUGGUGAGGUAAAGGCUCACCAAGGCAUCGAUCAGUAGCUGGUCUGAGAGGAUGAUCAGCCACACUGGGACUGAGACACGGCCCAGACUCCUACGGGAGGCAGCAGUGGGGAAUUUUCCGCAAUGGGCGAAAGCCUGACGGAGCAAGACCGCGUGAGGGAGGAAGGCUCUUGGGUUGUAAACUUCUUUUCUUGGGAAGAACAAAUGACGGUACCCAAGGAUCAGCAUCGGCUAACUCCGUGCCAGCAGCCGC
rnacentral:rRNA from 1 species